AAUAGAUACCCGGGUAGUCUACGCCCUAAACGAUGAUCGCUAGCUUUUCGGAGUAUCGACCCUCUGAGAGGCGAAGCUAACGCGUUAAGCGAUCCGCCUGGGUAGUACGGCCGCAAGGCUAAAACUCAAAGGAAUAGACGGGGACUUGCACAAGCAGAGGAUUAUGUGGUUUAAUUCGACGAUAAACGAAAACCUUACCAAGAUUUGAAACCUAGUUGAAUACUUUAGGAAACUAGAGUAGUCCGCAAGGACAGCUAGGCAGGUGAUGCAUGGCCGUCGUCAGUUCGUGAUUUGAGUUGUUCCCUUCAGUGGGGUAACGAACGCAACCCUCGUUGCCUGUUAUACGUGUCAGGCGAGACUGCCCCUUAUCAGGGGAGGAAGGUGAGGAUGACGCCAGGUCAGCAUGUCCCUUUGAUAUCUUGGGCUACACACAUAAUACAAUGGCCGGUACAACAGGUCGCGACGGAGUAAUCCCGAGCUAAUCCUUAGAAAGCCGGCCUCAGUUCAGAUUGGGGACUGAAACUCGACCCAUGAAGUUGGAUUUGCU
rnacentral:rRNA from 1 species